AACGAACGCUGGCGGCAGGCCUAACACAUGCCAGUCGAGCGAGGACUUCGGUUCUAGCGGCGGACGGGUGUGUAACGCGUGGGAAUGUGCCCUUCUCUACGGAAUAGCCCUGGGAAACUGGGAGUAAUACCGUAUACGCCCUAUUGGGGAAAGAUUUAUCGGAGAAGGAUCAGCCCGCGUUGGAUUAGGUAGUUGGUGGGGUAAUGGCCUACCAAGCCGACGAUCCAUAGCUGGUUUGAGAGGAUGAUCAGCCACACUGGGACUGAGACACGGCCCAGACUCCUACGGGAGGCAGCAGUGGGGAAUCUUAGACAAUGGGGGCAACCCUGAUCUAGCCAUGCCGCGUGAGUGAUGAAGGCCUUAGGGUUGUAAAGCUCUUUCAGCUGGGAAGAUAAUGACGGUACCAGCAGAAGAAGCCCCGGCUAACUCCGUG
rnacentral:rRNA from 1 species